GGCCUCGUAGCGCAGCUGGUAGAGCAUGAUUGUACAAAGCCUAAGCGGCGUCCAUACGUGGGUUCGAAUCCCACCCAGACUA
rnacentral:tRNA from 1 species